rnacentral:rRNA from 1 species
AUUGAACGCUGGCGGCAGGCCUAACACAUGCAAGUCGAGCGAGCGGCGGACGGGUGAGUACUGGCUGGGAAACCGCCUGAUGGCGGGGGAUAACUGCUGGAAAAGGUAGCUAAUACCGCAUACCAUCAGAUGUGCCCAGACGGGGUUAGCUAGUCGGUGGGGUAACGGCUCACCUAGGCGACGAUCCCUAGCUGGUCUGAGAGGAUGACCAGCCACACUGGGACGGAGACACGGUCCAGGCUCCGACGGGAGGCAGCAGUGGGGAAUAUUUGACAAUGGGGGCAAGCCCUAUGGAGCCAAGCCGCGUGAGUGAAGAAGGGCUUCGGGUUGUAAAGCACUUUUAGCGGGGAGGCGGUACCCGAAGAAAAAGCAACGGCUAACUACGGGCCAGCAGCCGCGGUAAUUC